AACGAACGCUGGCGGCAGGCCUAACACAUGCAAGUCGAACGGGCGUAGCAAUACGUCAGUGGCGGACGGGUGAGUAACACGUGGGAAUAUGCCUUUCGGUCCGGAACAACUCGGGGAAACCCGUGCUAAUUCCGGAUACGCCCUUACGGGGAAAGAUUUAUCGCCGAAAGAUUAGCCCGCGUUGGAUUAGCUAGUUGGUGAGGUAACGGCCCACCAAGGCAACGAUCCAUAGCUGGUUUGAGAGAACGACCAGCCACACUGGGACUGAGACACGGCCCAGACUCCUACGGGAGGCAGCAGUGGGGAAUCUUGGACAAUGGGGGAAACCCUGAUCCAGCCAUGCCGCGUGAGUGAUGAAGGCCUU
rnacentral:rRNA from 1 species